rnacentral:rRNA from 1 species
GGGUGAAUUGCAGAAUUCCGCGAAUCAUCGAGUCUUUGAACGCAAGUUGCGCCCGAGGCUUGUCCCGAGGGCAUGCCUGCCUGAGCGUCACCGCAGCCCCACCCCUCGGACCUUUGGGUCUCCGAGGAAGAGUGGAAUUGGCCAUCCGGGACCCUGGUGUCAAAGCCGGUGGUUGCGGUCGGCUGAAAUGUAGUGCUCUGGACGUGACCGAAAAGAGAGGCCGCGAGAAGGUGAUCCGCCCCAACAGGUGGAGUCGAAUUUGACAGCGCCUCUCUCCCUUCGGCGGGUCCGGGAGUGACGACGGGGUCUCGCGCAAUGUGCGGGGCCACGGAGACUGGUUCGAUGGGUUGAUGUCAUGAUCGGUCCUGACAUUGCACCAUGGGACUUAAAAGCUUGGACCUCAGAUCAGGCAAGAUUACCCGCUGAGUUUAA